rnacentral:rRNA from 1 species
GAACGUCCUGCCUCUUUUCGGAGCGCCAGGUAGUGGCGGACGGGUGAGUAACACAUGGGUACCUGCCUCCCAGUGCGGAAUACCCCCGGGUAAACCGGGGACAAGACCGCAUGCCCUCGCGGCGGGCGACUGCCGCGAGCAAAGCCGCGAGGCGCUGGGAGAGGGGCCUGUGGCCGAUUAGCUGGCUGGUGGGGUAACGGCUCACCAGGGCGACGAUCGGUAGCUGGUCUGAGAGGAUGGACAGCCACACUGGGAUUGAGAACGGCCCAGACUCCUACGGGGGGCAGCAGUGAGGAAUUUUCCGCAAUGGGCGCAAGCCUGACGGAGCAACGCCGCGUGCAGGAGGACGGCCUUCGGGUUGUAAACUGCUUUUCCCAGGGACGAGCACGGACGGUACCUGGGGAAGAAGCCUCGGCUAACUACGUGCCAGCAGCCGCGGUAAU